UACGGGGGGGGCAAGCGUUGGUCGGAAUUACUGGGAGUAAAGGGCUCGUAGGUGGCCAACUAAGUCAGACGUGAAAUCCCUCGGCUUAACCGGGGAACUGCGUCUGAUACUGGAUGGCUUGAGUUUGGGAGAGGGAUGCGGAAUUCCAGGUGUAGCGGUGAAAUGCGUAGAUAUCUGGAGGAACACCGGUGGCGAAGGCGGCAUCCUGGACCAACACUGACGCUGAGGAGCGAAAGCCAGGGGAGCAAACGGG
rnacentral:rRNA from 1 species